rnacentral:tRNA from 1 species
GCCGGGGUGGCGGAAUCCGGUAAACGCACCAGACUCGAGAUCUGGAGGGUCGAAAGGCCCACACGAGUUCAAAUCUCGUCCCCGGCG